UCAGGUCAGCUUUUUUUGCUGUCCACACUGAGCUGUUUUUAGUGACAAAAAUUGUCUCCUGAAGAAGUUGCAAUCAUGUUCUGGCAAAGCGCAGCAUACACUUUUCUGUGGUUUUUGCAAUCUGAGCUCUAAAAUAGCAGUCUUUUCAGGUCCCAAAUAAAACUGCAAUGUGUAUCUAUUCCAGAUUAAGUGUAUUUUCAGUUCUGCAGUUCUUUCAGGAAGUUCCUGGCAUAUCUUCAUUUCCAUUGCAUGUCUCAGGAAUGCAUCUGCAGAUCUUCAUUUCUGCCUUUUGUUGAAACUCUUUGCAACACAAUAAAAAAAAUGGGAUCAAAGCCACAGUGGAGACUGAUGCCAACAAAAGCCUAUAUAACCCCAAACAAACUCUUCAGUUUGGCCCUAUAGGCUAACUGAAUUACUGUUAUCACUAUAUCAUGCACAUAGCACACCAUAAAAAUCUUACAGAAAACCAGUUUGAAAGCACAAGAGCUCUGCUUGGUUUCACCAAACGAGGGGGGAAGUAAGAAGUUUUCAGUCAGAAGUUUUUGAAUAGUUGUGAUGCCACUGAUAGUUGGGGGGAGAAAUCACAAAAAGACCUGUGAGCCACUGCAGCACCUCUAGGGCAAGCAGCAUUUCUCGAGGAAGACACAGUUUGGGGUAACACCUCUAAGCCAGUUGCUGCUCGCCAUUUGUGCGCUGAAAAGUGAGGUGCAUUUCCAUAAGUGGAAGCCAAAAUUUGAAGACGUGCCUCAGCAGAGCUGUGCUAAACAUCUCAUAGGCUUGCAGAAUUUGGUGGCAAACCCCAGCUGUCACCAGUGCUGGAGGCUGCUGCCUGAGGCCUAAAAUGGAGCACGGCUGGUUUCCGCAGCAGACAGCAGCCACAGGGUGACAAAGAGUGCUGCUAAAGAACUGGUUAUGUUGUGGAGGCAGCAGACAAGAUGAAAAGGAGGGCUCUGCCCUGUUGCCUCCUGUUGCCAGCCAGAAGGUGGGGGUGACUUGCCUGCUGCUCACCACCCCACUGCAGCAAGAGGAGGGGAAGGGUGGGAAGAACUGAGGGACCCACCCCACAUCCCAGGAGAUCUGUUUUUACAUCUGCCACACCUCCUGCUAUUACAAAGUUAGCGAGGUGUGAAGUGUGCCUCCAGCCAGAUGCGCGGCCUUGUGAGGGCGGAGGUAACAGUGCCUCCUGGUGACUUCUGCAAUAACAUGAAGCUCCUGCAGUGAAAAAUGCAGAUGUUCUCAAGCACUUGAGGGCCACUGAAACUCUCCCACAAGCUGUGUGCUGUUACCCACAAAUAUUACAGGCCUGAGAACAGCAGCCAAAUGCCAGCUUGAACCUAUUCACCCUACACUGAGGUCAAUGGAGCAGGUCACUGAGCAGGCUCCCAGCUCUUUCACUGGCAGCAGGUGUGGGAGCAAUCACUGCAGUAAAAUACACCCAGGUGUGUGAAUAUGAAUCUGAAGACCUUUGGGGGGAUGCCCCAGUAUAUUUGUGUGGCACCGAUGAAGAUGCUGAGAACACAAAUAAACAUCCCAGUUGAGAUGACCACACUGUUGGACCUCUCUGAGCUGCUACUUCUCCUACAUGACUUAGAUUCCUUUUAAAAACAAACAAAAAAAAACAAACAAACAACAACAAAAAAAAAAGAAAACAGCGGCAGAGAAACAACAAGCCUAUCUGGCUGACA